rnacentral:rRNA from 1 species
ACGAACGCUGGCGGCGUGCUUAACACAUGCAAGUCGAACGGAAAGGCCCUGCUUUUGUUGGGUUCUCGAGUGGCGAACGGGUGAGUAACACGUGAGUAACCUGCCCUUGACUUUUGGAUAACUUCAGGAAACUGGGGCUAAUACCGGAUAGGAGCUCCUGCUGCAUGGUGGGGGUUGGAAAGUUUCGGCGGUUGGGGAUGGACUCGCGGCUUAUCAGCUUGUUGGUGGGGUAGUGGCUUACCAAGGCUUUGACGGGUAGCCGGCCUGAGAGGGUGACCGGCCACAUUGGGACUGAGAUACGGCCCAGACUCCUACGGGAGGCAGCAGUGGGGAAUAUUGCACAAUGGGCGGAAGCCUGAUGCAGCAACGCCGCGUGCGGGAUGACGGCCUUCGGGUUGUAAACCGCUUUCGCCUGUGACGAAGCGUGAGUGACGGUAAUGGGUAAAGAAGCACCGGCUAACUACGUG